rnacentral:rRNA from 1 species
CGGUACCUUGACGGUACCUAACCAGANAGCCACGGCUAACUACGUGCCAGCAGCCGCGGUAAUACGUAGGUGGCAAGCGUUGUCCGGAAUUAUUGGGCGUAAAGCGCGCNCAGGCGGUUUCUUAAGUUUGANGUGAAAGCCCCCGGCUCAACCGGGGAGGGUCAUUGGAAACUGGGGAACUUNAGUGCAGAAGAGGANAGUGGAAUUCCACGUGUAGCGGUGAAAUGCGUAGAGAUGUGGAGGAACACCAGUGGCNAAGGCNACUCUCUGGUCUGUAACUGACGNUGAGGCGCGAAAGCGUGGGGAGCGAACAGGAUUAGAUACCCNGGUAGUCCUGUCUCUUAUACACAUNUCC